rnacentral:lncRNA from 1 species
AAGUGAACCACAAUAAAGCAAAGCCGACGGAGACAAGAGGGCAAGGAAUUGAGCCUGCUGGAAAAACUUGUUCAAUUUCAUCCACUGAUCCAGUGGGCAGAGUCCGGGGCACUUUUGGUAAAGAGGUCCUGCCCUGAGCUCCUCUGUGGCAUUGCCCUGCACUGAACAGCUGUUGUUUUAGGACAGGCUGCAUUUCUGAAUAUAUCACAACAGACUUAUCCAUUUUUAUGAUUUACCGCCUCCAAAUCAUUCUCCACACUGCUGCUAGAGAGAUCUUUGUAAAAUGCAGAUUUGAUCAGAACACUUCCCUGUUUAAAAUGUGCUAGUGUCUUCUCUUUGCCAUCAGGAAGGAAAAAAAUCCGAAGUUGUUUGCAUGGUAUAAAAACUCCUUGUGAUCUGCAUAUAAAUUCCUUGUGAUCUGGUCUUU